AUUGAACGCUGGCGGCAGGCCUAACACAUGCAAGUCGAACGGUAACAGGAAGAAGCUUGCUUCUUUGCUGACGAGUGGCGGACGGGUGAGUAAUGUCUGGGAAACUGCCUGAUGGAGGGGGCUAACUACUGGAAGCGGUAGCUAAUACCGCAUAACGUCGCAAGACCAAAGAGGGGGACCUUCGGGCCUCUUGCCAUCGGAUGUGCCCAGAUGGGAUUAGCUAGUAGGUGGGGUAACGGCUCACCUAGGCGACGAUCCCUAGCUGGUCUGAGAGGAUGACCAGCCACACUGGAACUGAGACACGGUCCAGACUCCUACGGGAGGCAGCAGUGGGGAAUAUUGCACAAUGGGCGCAAGCCUGAUGCAGCCAUGCCGCGUGUAUGAAGAAGGCCUUCGGGUUGUAAAGUACUUUCAGCGGGGAGGAAGGGAGUAAAGUUAAUACCUUUGCUCAUUGACGUUACCCGCAGAAGAAGCACCGGCUAACUCCGUG
rnacentral:rRNA from 1 species